rnacentral:rRNA from 1 species
AAUAGAUACCCUGGUAGUCCACGCCGUAAACGGUGGGCGCUAGGUGUGGGGGACUUUCCACGUCCUCUGUGCCGCAGCUAACGCAUUAAGCGCCCCGCCUGGGGAGUACGGCCGCAAGGCUAAAACUCAAAGGAAUUGACGGGGGGCCCGCACAAGCGGCGGAGCAUGUGGCUUAAUUCGACGCAACGCGAGGAACCUUACCAAGGCUUGACAUGCAGGGAAAUCUCGUAGAGAUACGGGGUCCGCAAGGGCUCUGCACAGGUGGUGCAUGGUUGUCGUCAGCUCGUGUCGUGAGAUGUUGGGUUAAGUCCCGCAACGAGCGCAACCCUUGUCCUAUGUUGCCAGCGAGUAAUGUCGGGGACUCAUAGGAGACUGCCGGGGUCAACUCGGAGGAAGGUGGGGAUGACGUCAAAUCAUCAUGCCCCUUAUGUCUUGGGCUGCACACAUGCUACAAUGGUCGGUACAAAGGGCUGCGAGACCGCAAGGUGGAGCGAAUCCCAAAAAAGCCGGCCUCAGUUCGGAUUGGGGU